AUUGAACGCUGGCGGCAUGCUUUACACAUGCAAGUCGAACGGUAACAGGCCGCAAGGUGCUGACGAUUGGCGAACGGGUGAGUAAUGCAUCGGAACGUGCCCAGUCGUGGGGGAUAACGCAGCGAAAGCUGUGCUAAUACCGCAUACGAUCUAUGGAUGAAAUCGGGGGACCGAAAGGCCUCGCGCGAUUGGAGCGGCCGAUGUCAGAUUAGGUAGUUGGUGGGGUAAAGGCCUACCAAGCCAACGAUCUGUAGCUGGUCUGAGAGGACGACCAGCCACACUGGGACUGAGACACGGCCCAGACUCCUACGGGAGGCAGCAGUGGGGAAUUUUGGACAAUGGGCGCAAGCCUGAUCCAGCAAUGCCGCGUGCAGGAAGAAGGCCUUCGGGUUGUAAACUGCUUUUGUACGGAACGAAACGGUCUGGAUUAAUACCAUGGACUAAUGACGGUACCGUAAGAAUAAGCACCGGCUAACUACGUG
rnacentral:rRNA from 1 species